UACGAAGGGGGCUAGCGUUGCUCGGAAUCACUGGGCUUAAAGCGUGCGUAGGCGGCUGAGAAAGUUGGGUGUGAAAUCCCUCGGCUCAACCGAGGAAUUGCGCUCAAAACUACUUGGCUUGAGGGAGUUAGAGGUGAGCGGAACUAAUGGUGGAGCGGUGAAAUGCGUUGAUAUCAUUAGGAACACCGGUGGCGAAAGCGGCUCACUGGGACUCUUCUGACGCUGAGGCACAAAAGCUAGGGGAGCGAACGGG
rnacentral:rRNA from 1 species